rnacentral:rRNA from 1 species
GACGAACGCUGGCGGCGUGCCUAAUACAUGCAAGUCGAGCGAAUCGAUGGGAGCUUGCUCCCUGAGAUUAGCGGCGGACGGGUGAGUAACACGUGGGUAACCUGCCUGUAAGACUGGGAUAACUUCGGGAAACCGGAGCUAAUACCGGAUACUUUCUUUUCUCGCAUGAGGGAAGAUGGAAAGAUGGUUCUGCUAUCACUUACAGAUGGACCCGCGGCGCAUUAGCUAGUUGGUGAGGUAACGGCUCACCAAGGCGACGAUGCGUAGCCGACCUGAGAGGGUGAUCGGCCACACUGGGACUGAGACACGGCCCAGACUCCUUCGGGAGGCAGCAGUAGGGAAUCUUCCGCAAUGGACGAAAGUCUGACGGAGCAACGCCGCGUGAGCGAAGAAGGCCUUCGGGUCGUAAAGCUCUGUUGUUAGGGAAGAACAAGUACGAGAGUAACUGCUCGUACCUUGACGGUACCUAACCAGAAAGCCACGGCUAACUACGUGCCAGCCGCCGCCGUAACAC